UACGUAGGGUGCGAGCGUUGUCCGGAAUUAUUGGGCGUAAAGGGCUCGUAGGCGGUUUGUCGCGUCGGGAGUGAAAACCAUGAGCUUAACACCUGCCUGCUUUCGAUACGGGCAGACUAGAGGCAUUCAGGGGAGAACGGAAUUCCUGGUGUAGCGGUGAAAUGCGCAGAUAUCAGGAGGAACACCGAUGGCGAAGGCAGAUCUCUGGGCCGUAACUGACGCUGAGGAGCGAAAGCGUGGGGGAGCGAACAGG
rnacentral:rRNA from 1 species